UUAGCGGCGAACGGGUGAGGAACACGUGAAGAAUCUGCCUUCAACUCUGGGAUAACUCCGGGAAACCGGGGCUAAUACCGGAUAUGAGCCUUGAUCGCAUGAUCGGGGCUGGAAAGUUUUUCGGUUGAAGAUGACAUCGCGGCCUAUCAGCUUGUUGGUGAGGUAAUGGCUCACCAAGGCGACGACGGGUAGCCGGCCUGAGAGGGCGACCGGCCACACUGGGACUGAGACACGGCCCAGACUCCUACGGGAGGCAGCAGUGGGGAAUAUUGGGCGAUGGAGGAAACUCUGACCCAGCGACGCCGCGUGAGGGAUGAAGGCCUUCGGGUUGUAAACCUCUUUCAGUAGGGAAGAAGCGAAAGUGACGGUACCUACAGAAGAAGCACCGGCUAACUAUGUGCCAGCAGCCGCGGUAAUACAUAGGGUGCAAGCGUUGUCCGGAAUUAUUGGGCGUAAAGAGCUCGUAGGUGGUUCGAUACGUCGGAUGUGAAAAUCAGGGGCUC
rnacentral:rRNA from 1 species